rnacentral:rRNA from 1 species
UACAGAGGUCCCAAGCGUUGUUCGGAUUCACUGGGCGUAAAGGGUGCGUAGGUGGUGAGGUAAGUCGGAUGUGAAAGCUCGGAGCUCAACUCCGAAAUGGCAUUGGAAACCACCUUGCUCGAGGGUUGGAGGGGGGACUGGAAUGCUUGGUGUAGCAGUGAAAUGCGUAGAUAUCAAGCGGAACACCAGUGGCGAAGGCGAGUCCCUGGACAACUACUGACACUGAGGCACGAAAGCUAGGGGAGCAAACAGG